rnacentral:rRNA from 1 species
UCCGGUGGUGUUAUCGCGAAGGUUCCACCCGAUCCCAUUCCGAACUCGGAAGUUAAGCUUCGCAGAGCCGAUGGUACUGCCAGGGCGACUUGGUGGGAGAGUAGGUCGCUGCCGGGA